GCUUUCUGGACGGUAACUGACGCUGAGGCGCGAAAGCUUGGGGAGCAAACAGGAUUAGAUACCCUGGUAGUCCACGCCGUAAACGAUGGAUACUAGGUGUAGGGGGUAUCGACCCCUUCUGUGCCGGAGUUAACACAAUAAGUAUCCCACCUGGGGAGUACGAUCGCAAGAUUGAAACUCAAAGGAAUUGACGGGGGCCCGCACAAGCAGUGGAGUAUGUGGUUUAAUUCGAAGCAACGCGAAGAACCUUACCAGGGCUUGACAUCCUGCGACGACACUAGAGAUAGUGUUUUCCUACGGGACGCAGAGACAGGUGGUGCAUGGUUGUCGUCAGCUCGUGUCGUGAGAUGUUGGGUUAAGUCCCGCAACGAGCGCAACCCCUGUUGUUAGUUGCCAUCAGGUAAAGCUGGGCACUCUAACGAGACUGCCGGUGACAAAUCGGAGGAAGGUGGGGAUGACGUCAAAUCAUCAUGCCCCUUAUGUCCUGGGCUACACACGUACUACAAUGGCUGCUACAGAGGGCAGCGAAGCCGCGAGGUGGAGCAAAUCCCUAAAGGCAGCCCCAGUUCGGAUUGCAGGCUGAAACUCGCCUGCAUGAAGUCGGAAUUGCUAGUAAUGGCAGGUCAGCAUACUGCCGUGAAUACGUUCCCGGGCCUUGUACA
rnacentral:rRNA from 1 species